CGUUGAAACAACGGUUCUCAUAUGAUCACCUAAGUUAAGCAAUAUCAAUCUUGGCCAGUACCUAGAUUGGGGACCACUUGGGAAUACCAGCUGCUGCAAG